UGUGGGCAGACUCAUGGUUUAUAACGUUUAGCAACGACAGCCAGUCGGCUUUGAUGGUCGGAUGGUGUGUCCUCAUUUAGGUUGCUUCCUUCCUUAUUCUUUGGUAAGAAACAGCCUUAAUCCAAACUCAUUAGUGCCCUUCUGGGUGGGGUGGGGAGGUGGUGUCCACUUUGGCUCUUUGAAAAGGCGCUGGUUUUAGGUUUAGGUGGACAUUUUUAUUUCCCAGUGCAACAAAAAAUCAUGAGGUUUAAAUGCAGCCUUUGCAGAUCAUUUCAGGCAAAUAUUCAUUUGCAGUCAGUCGUUUUCCAUAUCUGUUGUUGCCAAGGAUGCUCACCUGAUUGCUUUCUCCUUUUAGUUAUUAUCUUUUCCUUAGGUUUUAAGGGAAGGCGGGUUCGAACAUUGGAAAGAGCACUUACUGGACGACUGGCCUGGUCUCCGGUACCAGCUUUGCCAUUUACUAGUGUGUGAUCUUGAGGAAAAUAACUUCACGUCUUUAAACCUCAAUUGACUAAAGAAGGGUAUGAUAGUGUGUUCCUCACAGGGUUAUUUUGAAGAGUAAAGAAGAUAAUUUGAAAGUGCAACAAAGUGUCAUAAAAUUGUUGACUCUGCCCCUGUUACCCUGAGUAUUUCCUGGUUAGGGACAUAGGGGACUCAGUUAAAGUAUUUAAAGGUAAUUUCAGUUACACCAUCUGUUGCUCAUUUAUUUACUAUUCCACUUGCCAAACAAGUGCAUAUUUUUUUGUAGAGACCUGUGCCAGAAAUAGAAAAGAUGAAAAAUGAGGGACUCAGUGUUUGCAUUCUGGUUGCUCAUGGCCUGAUUGGGGUUGUAAAUGACCUUGCCAGGUGACGAGUUUGUCAUUUUGACCACAGUCGUGGUGUAAGACAAUUUUUUUUUUUUUUUCAAUUUGGAGGAGAGAUUAAUUUAGCCUGGGUGUUUUGGGGAGGGUUUACAAAAGAGAAAUGUAUUCAAAUUUCUGAGGCAGAGAGGAGCUGUGUGAAUAAGGGCUGGGAAUAAGAAUUGUUUUUUUAGUCCAAGACCAACUAAGAGUUUAAGUACUCUGGAGAGUUUUUGUUGAGGAGUGGAGAUAAAAUUUGAUAAGCUGGGACUAGGUUAUGCAGUUGUUUUUGUUAAUCUUCACCCGAAGAUAUUUUUCCAUUGAUUUUUAGGGAGAGUGGAGGAGAGAGGGAAAGACAGAGAGAAACAUUGAUGUGGGGGAAACAUAUCGAUUGGUUGCCUCCUGCAUACAUCCCAACCAGGGCCCAGGCGAGGGAGGAGCCUGCAACCAAGGUACUUGCCCUUGACCAGAAUCGAACCUAGGACCCUUUGGUCCGCAGGCCGACGCUCUAUCCACUGAUCCAAACUGGCUAGGACUAGGUUAUGCAGUUGUUAAUGUUUACUCCUAGUGUUAAGACUUGAUUCUGUGGGAGAUUUUUAAAAAUAUAUAUAUUAUUAUUACAUUUUUUCAAAAACAUAUUUUUAUUGUUUUCAGAGAGGAAGGGAGGGAGAGAGAAAGAGAUAGGAACAUUAGUGAUGAGAAAGAAUUAUGGAUUGGCUGCCUCCUGCAUGCCCUACUCUAUGGAUCCCAGGCAUGUGGCCUGACCGGAAAUGGAAACGUGACCUCCUGGUUCAUAGGUUGAUGCUUAACUGCUGAGCCACACUGGCCUGGCAUUCUGUGGGAGAUUUUUGAUGAGGCCAGAAUUUUUCAUUUUCAGGGGCUUGUAAGUCUUUUUUGCCCCAGUAGGGAACACCCACCGUGUUUCCAGGAUUGAGAGUGACACUAAUUUGAAGAACCCAUACAUCUUUAAUGUUCCUAUUACAUGAUGAAACUGGUGUUCCAGGAAGACCGUGUGCUGGAGAAAUUAGACAUUGUUCCAGAUGUGGAAGCCCUGGAAAACAGAUAGGGUUAUAAUGAGGUUUAAAUGAAUUACAGGCAUACCUCAUUUUAUUGCACUUCACAGACACUGUGUUUUCAUCAACAUUGAGGUAAGACCUUUCUUCAGCAAAAAGAUUAUUACUCAGUGAAGACUCAGUUGAUGGUUACCAUUUUUAGCAAUAAUGUAUUCCUAAAUUAUUUAUGCAGUUUUUUUUAGACAUAAUGCUAUUGCACACUAAAUAGACUGCAUUGUAGUGUAAAGAUAAUUUUUAUGUGCACUGCGAAACCAAGCAUUUCUGUUACUGGUUUUAUUGUGGUAGCCUGGAACCAAACCCGAGAUAUCUCUGAGGUAUGCAUGGGACGUGCCUUGGGACAUGCCUGGGACAUGCUUUGUUCCACAUGUUGGGGAUGCAGUGGUAAAACAACAGAAAGGGGUUCUGCUCUCACGGAUAUUACAUUCUACUUGAGAGACUGUUAAUUAAAAAGCAACAAAUAAAUGAAUGAGAUAAUUUUCCCUUUACUAGUUCUACCUUUUCUGAACCUUUUGCCCCUUAUACUGUUAGAUACCUUUCAUCGAAGGCCAGCUGCCCAUUCUGGAUUUUGGGGGAGACUGAGGUAGUACAAAAAUGAAAUGAGUGCAGGAAUGGAACACACAGCAUAUUGAAGGCCAACCGAGAGGCCUGUAUAGUCAUUCUUUGGAGCAUGGGCCUGGCUGUUGUCAGGGGCAGGUAUUGAUCUUCCCAUCCUAGAAGCCAGGGAGAUAUUGUAGGAAUAAUUGCCCAAAGAGGAAAAGCUGGACUUUUUGCCAAGAAUGUACUCUUUUUUUUCCUGACGAUAUUUUUUUCUAUUGAUUUUUAGAGAGAGUAGAAGGGAAAGAGAAAGACAGAAAGACCUAUGUGAGAGAGACACAUCGAUUGGUUACCUCCUGCAUGCCCCCGACCAGGGCAGGGAGCCUCUAACCAAGAUAUGUGCCCUUGACCAGAAUCAAACCUGGCCUUCAGUCCAUAGGCUGAUGCUCUAUCCAUGGAGCCAAACUGCCUAGGGCAGUGGUCGGCAAACUCAUUAGUCAAUAGAGCCAAAUAUCAACAGUACAAUGAUUGAAAUUUCUUUUGAGAGCCAGUUUUUUUAAACUUAAACUCUAUAGGUAGGUACAUUGUUAUUAACUUAAUUAGGGUACUCCUAAGCUGGCCUCUGCUAAAAACGUCCUCAAUCUGAUUGAGGUAUGUUCGCUGAGGUCGACCCCUUCCAACUCUCCCAUCCACACUUGUCUUGUAUACUUGUUUCGUCUAUCUCCUUUCGUUCAUCCUCUCUAUAUGUCCAAACCAUCUCAACAUACCUUUCUCAAUCCUCAACACUACAUCUUCUUUCACUCCACAACGUUCCCUAAAAUUAACUUAAUAAACUUUACUUAAAGUUUUAAGUCAACUUCGCACUGUACGUGCGCGCCUGCACGUGGUAUUUUGUGGAAGAGCCACACUCAAGGGGCCAAAGAGCCCCAUGUGGCUCGCGAGUCGCGGUUUGCCAACCACUGGCCUAGGGCACCAAGAAUGUACUCUGUAAUGUUGACUAACAACAACAGAAGAAGAAUGAUAGCAAGGUCUAGCUCUGUAUUGUCCAAUCUGGUAGCCACCUGUCACCUGUGGCAACUUAAAAUUUAGCCAAAGUUAAAUAAAAUAAAAAAUUCUGUUUCUUAGUUUCUCUAGCCACAUUUCAAGUGCUGCGUUGCCUCAUGUAGCUACUGGCCACUGUAUUGGACAUGCAGUAUAGACCAUUUUCAUCAUCUCAGAACAACAGGGCAGGUCUAGAUUGUCACUUUGGGCUGGGUGCCAACAUUUUUCCUACUUAUCUAUGUAUAUUUGUAUUUUGGUUUUAUCUUUACUUUCUUACCAGGACAAGGACAUUUCAAGAGAUAGUGGCUACUGUCAGGAUUGUAGGCAAUUCUGAGUUCUGGCUCCUCGCAGGGCACCCAGCAUUGUUAGCCUCCCCUUAGCACAGUUGCUUCUCUAAAUUUGAAACGUGAAAUAAACUUCCCCAGCCUGGCUUUGUUACAUAGAAUUUUGAGGACUAGGUCUUUACCAGUGAUUCUCAACCAGAUAAAAUUUUGCCACCCCCAGGGACAUUUUGCAAUAUCUGGAGACAUAUUUGAUUGUUACAAUUUGUGUGUGUGUGUGUGUGUGUGUCCCUGUGCAUACGCUCGUGCCUCUGGCGAGUAGAGGCUAGAGAUGCUGCUAAACAUUCUACAUGCACACGAUAGUUUCAACAGUAGAUUAUCUGGGCCAGAAAGUCAUUAUUUAUGAAGCUGAGAAAGUUUGCUUUACUCUCGGCUUUGACUUAACAAAAGGGGAAAAUGUUAUGCAAGACUUAAAUGCAAAAGUAGUAAUUUAAAAUAAAAUCCAAUUGAUACUAGAAUUCCCUUUUCCACUCACUUGGAAGUUACCAUCUCUUGCUCUGAGAUGGAUCAAUUACCCAGAGCAUACCAACAAUAAAACACCAACCCUGAAUUGUUUUAAAAACACAUUACUAAGUAAUUAGUUCACAUGAAGAGUAUAAUGCUUCUUUUUGUUACUUACCUAAGAGGCAAUCAUUUUAGUGAAAUAUCCUUUCCUAAGGACACAGUUCUUUACCAAAUAAGUGAGUAAAACUAAGUGAGUAAACUAGUGAAGAUAUUAUACAUUACUAGAGGCUUGUUCAUUUCUAACUUCAGAAGAAUGCAGGCAUUAGGUUGCUUUCUCUUAUUCUCUCUACUUUCUUUGAUGUUUGCAUCCCUUCCCUUUGUCUUUAUCUCUCUUUUGUGUUAAGUGUUCAAUUCAGUGUGGUGUCUUUGUAUAUUCACAGAGUUGUGCAACUAUCACCAAUAUGUAAUUUGAGAAUAUUUUCAUCACCCCUAAUGGAACCCUAUACCCAUUAGUAAUCGUUCCCUACCUUCCUGCUCCCCCCACCUGCAGCUCCUGACAUCCAAUAAUACACUUUGUGUCUUCGGAUUUCCUUGUUCUGGACUCCUAUAAAUGGAAUAAUACAGUAUGUAGCCUUCUGUGUGUGUUUUCUUUCACUUAACAUUCUGUUUUCAAGGUUAAUUCAUGUUGCAGCAUGUAUCAGUAGUUCAACCUUUUAUAUAGUUGAAUAUUCCACUGUGUGGAUAUACCACCCUUUGUUCAUAUGAGUAUUUCUACCUUUGGCUAUCCUAUAUAAUAAUCUAUAUAUAUAAAGAGCCAUCUAUAUAUAUAUAAAGAGCCAGGGGCCAUCACAACUGAACAGACGACCGAAUGGACGACUGAACAGGCUGAGUAAGGCCACAAGGCCAGGAGGAGGGGCAGUGAGGGACGACCAAAUGACUGAGCAGAAGGCUGAGUGGGGUGACCAGGCCGACAGGGGGUUAGUGAGGGACGACCAAACGACUGAACAGCAGGCUGUGUGGGGCAA